GGGCGAUUAGCUCAGCUGGCAGAGCAGCUGACUCUUAAUCAGCGGGUCGCAGGUUCGAAUCCUGUAUCGCCCA
rnacentral:tRNA from 1 species